UUACCACUGAGCCAUGUCUCCAGCCUCA
rnacentral:piRNA from 1 species